AUUGAACGCUGGCGGAAUGCUUUACACAUGCAAGUCGAACGGCAGCACGGGGCAACCUAGUGGCGAGUGGCGAACGGGUGAGUAAUACAUCGGAACGUGCCCAAUCGUGGGGGAUAACGUAGCGAAAGUUACGCUAAUACCGCAUACGAUCUACGGAUGAAAGCGGGGGAUCGCAAGACCUCGCGCGAGUGGAGCGGCCGAUGUCAGAUUAGGUAGUUGGUGGGGUAAAGGCUCACCAAGCCAACGAUCUGUAGCUGGUCUGAGAGGACGACCAGCCACACUGGAACUGAGACACGGUCCAGACUCCUACGGGAGGCAGCAGUGGGGAAUUUUGGACAAUGGGCGCAAGCCUGAUCCAGCCAUUCCGCGUGCAGGAUGAAGGCC
rnacentral:rRNA from 1 species